UCUACCAAAGGAUAGUAGUAU
rnacentral:tRNA from 2 species